rnacentral:lncRNA from 10 species
GGUCAGCAAACAGUAUUCCUGGAAUCGGGUUGGAAUUCAGCCAUUCGGUCUGCUCUUGCAGGCAUUAGCUGGUCAAGGGAGAAGAAUACAACAUCAUUUCUGUGGUGUUCUUGCCAAAAAUACAUAAGCGACUUUAAUUAUGAGGAAACACCCGACAAACACAAAUGGAGAAAGUCUCUACCUUAUCUGGCUAGUACUUUUCAAGAAUGUCCAAGUCAUGAAAGACAAAGACCAGUGGAUUAUUACAGAUUAGAGAAGACUAAGGAGAUAUUGUGUCCGGAAUUGGUGGGUUCUUGGUCUCAC